AGAACGAACGCUGGCGGCAGGCUUAACACAUGCAAGUCGAACGGUUGUAGCAAUACAGCAGUGGCAGACGGGUGAGUAACACGUGGGAACCUUCCUAGGGGUACGAACAACUCAGGGAAACUUGAGCUAAUACCGUAUACGUCCGUAAGGAGAAAGUUUUAACGCCCCUAGACGGGCCCGCGUAGGAUUAGGUAGUUGGUGAGGUAACGGCUCACCAAGCCUACGAUCCUUAGCUGAUCUGAGAGGAUGAUCAGCCACACUGGGACUGAGAGACGGCCCAGACUCCUACGGGAGGCAGCAGUGGGGAAUCUUGCGCAAUGGCCGAAAGGC
rnacentral:rRNA from 1 species